GACGAACGCUGGCGGCGUGCUUAACACAUGCAAGUCGAACGGAAAGGCCCUGCUUUUGUGGGGUGCUCGAGUGGCGAACGGGUGAGUAACACGUGAGUAACCUGCCCUUGACUUUGGGAUAACGUCAGGAAACUGGGGCUAAUACCGGAUAGGAGCUCCUGCUGCAUGGUGGGGGUUGGAAAGUUUCGGCGGUUGGGGAUGGACUCGCGGCUUAUCAGCUUGUUGGUGGGGUAGUGGCUUACCAAGGCUUUGACGGGUAGCCGGCCUGAGAGGGUGACCGGCCACAAUGGGACUGAGAUACGACCCAGACGCCUACGGGAGGCAGCAGUGGGGAAUAUUGCACAAUGGGCGGAAGCCUGAUGCAGCAACGCCGCGUGCGGGAUGACGGCCUUCGGGUUGUAAACCGCUUUCGCCUGUGACGAAGCGUGAGUGACGGUAAUGGGUAAAGAAGCACCGGCUAACUACGUG
rnacentral:rRNA from 1 species